AACAAAACAAACACGUUUAAGUUUGAAAACGACAGAAGUUAAGAAGUGGAAAGUUGCCUAGGAUAUGCUUUUAUUGCAGCCUCUCUAAUAAACCCGUCCCUACUCCAUCUUUGUGUCCUUGUUUGUCCUAAGCAGCAUGGUGGCAGCCGUGGCAUUCAUCAGGCUAAAGUGACAAGAUGCCAUUUGGCACUUGGGCUAGAGAAAAUGAUAAGCACCUGUUUUUGUACCUCUCAAAUUCAUCAUCUGGGUGGCCUAUCUCAUCCCUACUUCCAAGCUUGCUUUUAUUGCAGGCAUUGAGCUUCAGGAUAUCUUCCAUAAUACAGAGGAAUGCUCUUGAAUGCUCUACCUUCACUGACUUUGAAAAUGCAGCUGCUCUUAUCCCCUCACCUAAACUUUCUUGAAGACCUGGGAAGAAAGGCAAGAAAGCAAUAUUGUCAGACGUGAUGUUCUCGACUUACACUGCUCCCACAUGAUUAAUCAUCAAUGCUUAAUAAUUCUCAGACUUGAGUUUACACCACAAUCAGAUGGAGUCCUUGUCACACCACAGAUUGUUCUACCUCUCCCAUCCCCCAGAGUUUCUGUGAAUUUACAUUCCCAAUGUAAUGAUAUUGCUAAUGGUAUUAGUUGAAUGCUAAUUCAACUAAUGAAUGAAUGAAUGGAUGCUAAUGGUAUUAGCUGAAGACUCAAUUUGAGAAGCACUACUGCUAGCCCAUUUCUUCAGACUCCUCCAAGGGAGUAUCUGUUUCCAGUUUAUGAUUUCACAAUUUUUCAAAACUUCUUUGGAGAAUAUAUGAUAUACAUUUGUGUAAGAAUCCAUGUUGUCAGUCAUAUCCUGUAUAGGAUGGUGAAAGAUCAGAUCAUUCCCUUGAACUUUUUCUUCACCUCCCACUGAUUGCAAUUAUCAGAAAAAUGAAAAUUCAAAAGAAAAUUUUAACAGUGGCCUACGAUGGCUGCAGUUGGGCACAUGGAUAAUAAAACCUAGGCCUAUAAGCUACUGCUGACCACUUGCCUGUGUAACUGGAGUUUGUUAAAUGUUUCACUGACAGAUACUGGUUAUAAACCUACUUAUUAGAUAAAGAACAAAGACAGGAUGAAAUUAGUCACCCUCCACCAGGCCUUAAGAUGCCUCACCUUUCUUUCUACCCACUCAACUGCACAUUUACCUUAUUUUAUAUACAGCAUCACCGAGCACCCAGCACAAUCAAGAUUGCAACAAUUGCUUCUCUCCCUGCUUCUCUCACCUCUUGGGCCACACAUAUCCCCUGUUAUAUAUACUGUGCCCCACGUAACCUCCUGUGGGACACAUUCUGGGUUAUACUGAGUCUGUGUUGCUAGGAUUAAAUUUUUAAACUUGGCUCAAAGUAAAUUUAACUGUGAUUUCUCUAAUUUUUAGUGCCUACUGUUUCACCAGACACCUAGAAUCUGUAGUGUCCUAGAGGGUGGAGGGAAAGGGGCUGGGUUAGAAAACUACUUAUUGGGUACUAUGCUCACUACCAGUGUGAUGGGAUCUGUCCAUCCAGGGCUUGGGCAAGAUACUUUAGUGAAUACCAACAUUAAUGAGACAUUGCCUUUUCCCAAGGCUACAGGAUAUCAGCCUACUCAAAUAGUGACAAUGUCUUUACAGCCAGAAGCCCACAAAAUAGAACGAAGUAACUAAAUUUUUGGUAGCAUUCUGGGUAAUUUAUGUAGUGUUAGACUCAUGGGUUUGAAAGAAAGAGACUUGUGAUCCCAUUCUGGUAAGCCACAAACUUCAUGGCAAGAUCAGUAUGUGUUUCUCAGGGGAAAUAUAAACAAUAAGUGUGAGAGGUUUAGCAGUGAAUGUAUUAAUAUUAUGUUGGAAAUUGUGUUGUUAAAGAGUAAAAGAAAAAAUGGUGUAACUAAUUUUAAAGAAACCUUCAAGAAUUUGAGGGUGCUUUUAUAAAUGCAAGUUCCUGAAUAUGGCCAAAACCAAAAUCUCAGUGAAUUUAAAAGAGUAGAUGUUUUAAAAGACUCAAUUUUAAAGGAGUGACCGAAAAUGGCCAAGUAAAUAUUCAAAGAAUUAUAAAAAGAAUAUCAAAGUAAACUAGUAAAAAACAAAUGGAGCUAUUUAUAAAAAUGAAAGCUAUAAAUAAUGAAAUGGAGAACAAGACAUAGUGCAAAGGAUAUAUAAAGCCAAAAGUUCAUUUUUAAAUGGCAAAAGAGAGAGAGAAGAAGAGAGAGAGGGACAUACUUCUGGUAAGUCAUUUUAAGGAAAUACAAGAGAAAAAGGAAAAAGCAAAAAUAAAAAAAUAAGCACAGAGUAUGAGAGAUGAGAACGGAAACAGAGAAAAGAAAAAAAUAAUUAUAAUAGAAGAUUAUAUACUACUCCAAGGCAACAUAUUUACUGAUAAAAGAAAUGGAUGUUAUCCCUCAAGAAUAAACUAUCAAAAUUGACUUUCAAAAAAACAGAAAACCUCAACAAACUAAUAGAAAAUAUUGGAAAUUAAAUGAAAUAUCUACCCUUUAAAAAGUGGACAAGUAUUAUGGCCUCCUGCUCCAUCCAUAUUGCUACAAAGAACAAUAUUUUAUUCUUUUCUAUUGCUGCAUGGUAUUCCAUAGGAAUAUAUGUACCAAGUAUUUUUUUAAUCCAAUCUACUAUUGAUGGGCACCUCGGUUGAUUUCAUUUCUUUCCUAUUGUGAACAGUGCAGCAAUGAACAUACAACAGGAUGUGUCAUUUUGGUAGAUUGAGUCAUUUUCUUUUGGCUAUUUACCUAGUAAUGGCAUUGCUGGGUUAAAUGGUAAAAUUAAUGCUGUAACAGAAAACUAAAUAUCACAUGUUCUCACUCAUAACUGGGAACUAAGCUUUGACCAUACAUGGACAUAAAUGUAGGAACAAUAGACACUGUGGACUACUAGAGGGUGGAGGGAAAGGGGCUGGGUUAGAAAACUAACUAUUGGGUAUAUGCUCACUACCAGGGUGAUGAGAUCUGUCCGUACUCCAAGACUCAUCAACGUGUAAUAUUCCCAUGUAACAAAUCUGCACAUGUAACCCCUGUAUCUAAAAGGAAAGUUGAAAUUAAAAAAUAAAAAGUAGCCAAAAUCAGAUUAUUUUAUAUUUAAAUUCUACAUAAGCCAAAAACAAACACAUAAUUUUAAUACUAGACUUUGGUAACAGAUGAAAAGCUCCUAAUGCCAAAUCUGGCAAGGAAAUAACAAAAAGAGAAUUAUUGCCCAUAUUCCCUUAUGAAUACAGAUACAAAAAUUCUGAAUAAAAUAUUCGGUAGUAUAUCAAAAGGAUGUGAACAUGAACAGUUUGUUUUAGAAAGGCCAGAAUGGCUUUGAUCGGAAGAUCUUUUAGUGUAAUAAAUUAAAGGAGGAAAAAUUUCAUGACUAUAUAAAUUGCCAAAAAAAAAGACAAAAAUGAAAUAAGAUAAAAUUUACCCUCCAUUCUAAAUAUAAGUUCUAUGAAUGUAGGAACAAGAGGAAAAUGCUCUAAACCUGUAAAGACAGAAUCAAAUGUAAUUCAGAUGUAAGUUGUUACAGCUAUUUCAUUAAAAUCAGGAAUGAGACAAGAAUAGAACUAUUAUUUUUGUUAGUUGAUAUUGUUUUCUUAGGUUGUACAUUAUGCAAUAAGGCAAGAAACUAAAAACCCAUAUAAAUAUUGGCAAAGAAGCAGCAAAUUACUUUGUUUGCAGAGUACAGUAUUACGUGUUUAGAAAAUCCAAGAGACUUUGAAAAAACACAAAAACAAAUAACACCCCCACACACACAAAAAAACAGGUUUUAAAGAACAGUGUGACAUAUUUGGAAAUCAAGAAUAUAAAUAAAAAGCAAUAACAAAAUAAUAAUGCUCAGAAAUAGAAAUGGAAAAAUAAUUUAAUAUUCUUCACAAAUAGUAUAAAAUACUUAAGGGUAAACUUAAUGGAAAAUCACAUAGUUUACCACAGGAAAACAAUAAAAUUUUGCCAGAUGGCAUAGAACAAAAACUGAAAAAAGUGAAAAAAAAGAGCAUAUUUGUAGAUGAAAAGAUUUAGUAUCACAAAAAAAUUAAUCCUUCCACAAUUGUCUAAAAAAGCUCCUCCAACAACAAUCACAAUUGCAAUAGUUUGGAAAAAUUACUUGAUGUUCAUAUAGUUCUUAAAUUUAUAAGAAAAAGGAAAGUAAGAAAAACUUUCUUAGGUUGUACAUUAUGCAAUUGUGUACAUUGCAUAAUGUAC
rnacentral:lncRNA from 10 species